GGCCACUUCAAAUCAAUGUUUGUGUUGGCUUUCUUUGUUUAAACCUUUGGUCAGUGGCAGGUGACCAUGUACGUGCCAGUCUUAGUCUUCUUAGAACAAGUCCCUGAAGCUGUAGAAUCAUAGAGCUAAAAUGGGCCUCAGAAGUGUCACCUGUCUCUGCAACUGGUUGGAUUUGUUUUGUCUUCAGCUUCCCCAGGGCUAAUCACCUUUUC
rnacentral:lncRNA from 1 species